rnacentral:rRNA from 1 species
AUGAGUUCUUCGUCAUCUUCAUCUGGCGAAGAUGAACUCAUACUUGCAGCAUUCGCCGAGCGCGAGGAGGAAGAGAGGAUGAACGCUCGACGCCAUGGCGGUUCCAAGCAUGGACGUCAAACAAUCAAUCGAGGAAGAGAUGCCGGUUUUGUUCUUCUGUGGGACGACUACUUCAAAGAAGUUCCUCGCUAUCCCGAACAUUUGUUUCGACGAAGAUUUAGGAUGUCCCGUAAUUUGUUCAAACGCAUAGCCGAUGGUAUACUUGAGCAUGAUUAUGAUGGUUAUUUUACUCAAAAAAGUGCUUCUGGAGCUCUUGGGUUACAUCCUCUGCAAAAGAUGACCGCGGCAAUGUGGAUGCUAACAUAUGGAAUAGCAGCUGAUGGUGCUGAUGAGUACAUCCGAUCCGCUGAGGCUACUAAUUUAGUCUUGCAAGAAAUUUAUGAUCAAAGUUUGUGA